GUGCUCGCUUUGGCAGCAUAUUUGCUAGAACUGGAACGAUACAGAGAAGACUAGCACAGCCCCUGGGUGAGGAUCCCAUGCAGAAGACUGAUGGAACCUGGACAGAA